rnacentral:misc_RNA from 1 species
UCUGUCGUCUUUAGCGCACCACAUCACAUCCCAUUUCUCUCUCUCUAACUCACACGUGGGACCGCCUACACGCGAAUAGCACCUGCACCUCUCUCUCUCUAUAUACACGCGCACACACUCAGCAGCAGCAGCAGCAGCGGUGGCACUCAGAGUUGUGUGACUCAUCUCAGGAGCACACUGCCGUGGCUGCCGGUGGUCAUCGCACCUCAGCGUAUUUGCCGGCUCUCUCUCUCUCUUGCUUUCUCACUCUGUGUGCCCCCAGCCAUUCGACGGGCAGUGCUUGGAGACGCAACACAUGCGCACGCACAAGAGAAGCGGGACAGCUUGAGCACGGAUACGAAGAUCACCCACGCAGGCACGCAAGACAGGCCGCGAGGUGGGUGGACACGCAGACAACGAUCAUGACAAGGAGCAGCACCUCGGCAACACCUUCUUCACCUUCACCAGCACGCAGAGGAACGAAGCGAGCACGAACGCGUCGAUCACGAGCUCCGGCGCAUCGUGGGUGUGGGUGUGAUUCAACCGCCCCUAUCCCCCCUCCUCACUCCAACACCCCUCGGACCCAUCUGCUUCGUCUGCAUUGUUUGCGUGUGUAUGCCUUCACAGACAACCUCAUCACAGACGCACGCAGAGAGGGCACGACACAGCAGCGCCGCUGCACCCCCGCUUCACGCUCUCUACUCGGCCGCGCCACCCACUCCCCUGCAUCCCCCCCCCUUCUCUGCCUGUCCAUCGUAUCACUGUUGAGUAGACGCGCUCAGAGAGAAACGGGAGGCAAUAGCAGAGAGCGCAGCGCUACGGGAGACAACAUCGUCAACACCCGUGCGCGCGCAUAUACAUAGGUGCGCAGGCAAGCAAGCACGCGCACACAUCACGGGCACGGCACUCGCCCAAACUGGCGAGAGAAGCACGAUUACGUUGAAGACAGCAAGCAAGCAACGAGAACGAAGAACAGAAAAGAGGGCCGAGAGGUGCAGUACAACCUACACAGCCGGCAUCCGCCCCUCCUCUCCUUCGCAGCUCAACGCCUGAGGGCUCGUGUGCCUGCGUGCGUCUGGGCAGCAACUGUUCGCGUUGGCCUCGUCCUCUUUCUGCAUGUGUGACGCCUUCUCUCGCUUGCGAUACAGCAUCCCGCACCAACACCAGCAACCACAGUGGCGGCUCCGCUCACCAUCUCCUCUUCUCCCCCCCCUCCUCCCCCCUCGCUGCCCACUUCUUCCGUUGAUGGUACCACUUUCCGUUUUCUCUUCUGUCUUGCGCUAAACAUUCUUUUCUCUUGCUGCGUGUCCGCGUGUGUAUUCUCGCCCGCUCGGUGUCUCGCAGGCAAACAUUGUUUGCUUCUUGGGAGCCACGAUCGAAGGCCACCACCCACCCGUCACGGCCACCCUCCCUCACUCCCUCCCUCCUCCGGCAGACCUGUCCACACACGCACACACACACAGACAGACAUCCCGCACACGCCCUCUUGGUUGGUGUCCGUGGGCGCGUGUGCGUGUGUGCGUACUGCUUGGUCUCUUACUUUGUUUUCUCUUGUAUAAAAGCGGGCGAAAGGCAGGCGUCCUCUCCGGUGCGUGGCGUUCUCGCGCUGCUGUGCGCGUCUUCUUUUCGGUUGGCGCACGCGUGCACGUGUGCAUAUAUUUGUGUUGUUUUCCCCUCUCGCUUAACCACGCACCCUCCCUCAUCCCAUACGCACCUCCUCUUCUUCUUGCCUUGUCUCCCUCUCCCUCUCUUCUCCGUCUCGCCCUUCCAUCUCCCCCUCCCCUCCCCCCCCACCGCACCUCCACACACCUCGCUGCGCGUGCAGCGGGGGAAGCGUCCGUGAGGCGUCGGCAUCCCUUGGUACAUAGAGAGAGGCAUGCAUGCGGGACGUACGCAUAGAAAACGCGCACCCGGCCUUCAUUCUUUUUUCGCUCCCCUCACCCUUCUCUCCCUCUCUCGGUGCGUGUGUGUGGUCAUCUUCGCUCCAUCAGCCCCGCGUGCGUGCGCCGUUCGUCGCCCCCCCCCUCGCCUCUCCCGUCGCCUUGUCAGGCUUCUCGCCAACUGUGGCGAAUACCACCACGCACACGUUUCUGCCAUACUCCACCAACACGGCACCCCCACCCCUCCAAACCAGUAGCGUGCCACUGGCAUCAGCUCGCUCCGCCUUUCUCUUUUCCUCGCCGCCCUCCUCACUCCAUCAUUAUUGUUGUUGUUGUUUUCGGAAUACUUGUUGGAGCGCGUACGUCUGCCGGCGUGCGUGUUGGGCGAUAUCGGGAUUGGGCGUUGUUGCUUGGUCCGCAGUGUUGCACACACACACACACACAUACGUAUAUAUAUAUAUAUAUAUACACACGGUGGUCUGCCCUCCUUUGCCACUCUCCUCCCUCCCUCCCCUGCUCCUCUUUCUCGUGUUGUUCGCACGCUCCGGACAACAUAGGAGGCGUUGUAUCGUACUCCCUCGCACACCUACGCAACCCCCGCGCCCGCCCGCCCGCCCUCCCUGGCCUGCCUCGGCGUCUCGCUCCCCGCGUACAAGCGGCUGCACGUCAGCGAGACGAGCAGCGAGGAGCAGUACGAAGCGAAGCGCAGAGGCAAGAGCACCAGAGAGAGAGGCGUGGCCAGACGAAGCAGCGCACACCACCACCACCACCGCAGCAGUGGCAACAGUCUGUGAGUGACGCGCUGAACUGCGUUCUUCCCAUUGUUUCUUCACUGUGUGUGCGUGUGUGUCGUGUGUGUGGUGUUGCUCCCUUGCUGCCACCAUGGUGAUUCACGUAUCGGUCGUGCGGAACGGCACGCAAGAGAGCUGUGGCGCAGCUGUCGGCACCGACGACAGUGUCGGCGGCAGCGGCUACAGAAACAGCAGCAUGACCAUCAGCGGUGGUGGUGACGCCUUGGAGGAUGUCAGCGUGCCGUACCGCCUUCCUGCACCGCUGUCACCACCCACAAUGGUCGAGGAUGAGAAUCGCCAUGAAAACAGCAACCGCCCCGAGUGCUGCAAUGAGCGGACUGGCAGCAGCACUGACGCGGCAGAGAGCGGAGUGGAAGCGGUGCAGAGCAGCAAGCGAGAAGGCUCGCCCUCAACAACGACAUCCACGGCACUGUCGCCAUCGGUGGUGCGAGUGCGGCCGGGAGCCAACACGACGAGCGGCGUUCCCUCCAACCACACUCUCGGGAAGGGCUGCGUCACCAUUCCGUGCGCCGUCCGCGCAAGGUCGCCGAGCGGCGCAGCAGCCUCACCCAGUGCCGCGCACCGCUUCGGUGUCACUCCGCCAUCUCUCUUUACGCCAGAGCCUAUGCCAGUCAGCGUCAGGGAGCGCACCUCGUCACCGCCGUCGAGCACAUCCACCGCCGAGGCAGGCCAGAGACUCGGCAGCAUCGACAGCGGCACCAUCAGCGCCGCGUCGAAUUCUCGGCGGCCAGAACCUCUUUGUAAGGAAGCGUUGUACGACGCUCAGCAGCUGACUGCGUCCUCGGAUUCAGUGCCGGCUUCUGGGUCGCAGCACGCGCCUGCCACGGCAUUAGCGCCGCAAGAUACAGAGCCACACCCCAUUCCCGUGAACGCCACGGCGUCGCUGUCGUGUGGGCUGCACUCGUGCAGCCUCUACGAGCCAGCCCUCGGCCCUGAUGUCGCCACGUCUACCGCAGUCGGCUCGGCAGCCAUGCCUCCCUCGGAAGCCGCCACCGCCAAGCAAAACUCCACGUCGGCUGCAUCGGCAUCGUUGCGCGUGAGCGAGCAAGCACCUCGACCCGAUGCUUGCGCAUCACCCCUACAUGGCUGGGCCUCCUCUGUCAGCAGCGCCAGCACUCGAGUCUCCGGCUCGGCUCGCUUUAGGGAGGAACCUCGCCCUGCUUCGCCGGUGACGAUGGUGCCCUUGCUCACCGCCACGCCGCCCUUCGCCAGCGCCGCGAUCGCAGUCACGUCCGCUGAGCCGCCCCGCUCGCUUGGCGCGCUGCCUCUGUCAAGCGCGUCCAGCUCGUCACCCUCGCCUCCACCAGCGGUGCCAUCACCGUCCUCGUCGGCGCCCACGCUCGUCUUUGCGUCCCCGACGCACCCUAGAUGCCCGCAAGCACCGUCACCGGCGCCGUCAACACCUCCACAGCAGCAGCAGCAGCAGCAGCAGCAGCAGAUGCCUUCGCCUGCCAGGAUGACCUCGUUGGUGCACGUUUCGGAAGGUGAGGAGGUGUGUGAGGAUCUGGACAAGGGCUUGCUAUCCUCGCACGGCAACCUUCAUACACCGCUCGGCGGCCCGGAGAAGGGCAACGCCGGCUUCUCCACGGCGUUGUGCGUCUCCUUGCUUAGCGGGUGCGGCGGCGGUAACGGCGGCCUCAGCCCCAUCGGCAGUCUGGAAGCGGCGGGACGAACCGCUCGGCCAAACACCCCCAUCUUGCAGCCCAGCGCAGGUCCUCAGUCAAGACCGCAGCUGCUCGAACCGUCUUUCCUCACUGCGGGCACCCCGUUGGCACAGCCGAUAGGGCGAUCGCUGGUCGCACUGCCGCCGAUUCUCAGCACCGGCGCCGCGGCGAACUCCACCUCAUCCUUAUCGCUGCUCCUCCCGCCGUCUGUCAUGUCCAUCAGUUUCCUCAGCGGCAGCGGCCACACCAAUAGCGGCGGUGUAGCCGGCGGCGGCGGCGGCGGCGGCGGCGGCGGCGGCACUGGUGUGGGAGGCGCUGGUGGCUUUCGGUCACCCUUGGCGUUCCGCUCCCCCUUCACCUCCGUGCUCACGCCACAAGCGCACCACCACGAGCCCCACCACAGCCAACAUUCGGCUGCGGUGUCCCCUCACCCCUGCCUCUUCCACCGCCAUGCAUCUGUGCGGCCUACGACACCACUGCAGCAGUCGCCAGCACUGCAGCACGGAUUCAGUCUUCCCCCCAGUUUCUAUCAGCAACAGCAGAAACAGAGGCCUCCCGACCCCUCCCCGCCGCGCACGUCGAUGAUGUCCAUCGCUUCUUCAUCGUCCCUUUACUCCGGGUCUUCACCGUCCCCGCUCGCCUUGGGCGACCCCGACCCCGCGCCCGGGAGCGGCCCUCUGCCAGCCUCGUCGUCGACGUUCAUGCAAGGCGGCGGCGUGGCUGUAGCAACGGCCAUGUCGCCAGUAUCUGCGCACCACACUGCCGGCGGUUCACCGGCAGCUGCGCGCCGCGCCCCCCGCGUGCACUCCCCACUUCUGCUGCCGCCCUCCGCGGCAAUGCCAUCCUUUACACCCCCGUCCUUCGUCACUGUUCCGUUGAGCGGCAUAUCUUCUCCCGGCGGGGAGGGGCGGACGCGUCAGUCUUCGCUGGCGUUCUUGUCCAGCACCCCUGGACUCCCUAGUACGCCUUGCCCGGCGCCAGGUCAAGCCGCAUCGAGUCUGACGUCAGCGCCGACGAUCUCAGCCGUGGCGGCGCACAAGGAAGCGGAUCGAGGGGACGCCUGGAGCGCCAACGCGGCAGGCAGCGGUGCGAUAGCGUUGCGUGACGGCUCUCAGUCGCGAGAUCAGCAGCAGCAUCACGCCCACCACCGCCUGCACACUGUGAGCCACCUUUCAGCGAGAGGGGUGGCCGCCCAACCGGUAGUGUGUCCGCAGGCAUGGCGUGUGCUUGAAGUCUCUGGCGGCAGCAGCUGCAGCGUUGACAACAGCGGAGAUUGCGCCGCCGAGUGGUGCAGUGGGGACGGGCAGCAACGCCUGAACAUCGCGUCCCCCGCAGACUCGGUAACGGCGCGGCAGCCACACGAACGCGAGGUGCCACAUGGCGUUGUGGAGGCGUUGAGGUCACCUGACAUGAGUCGCGAAGGCGACGACAGCGAGGCGACUACGCAUCUCGGGAACAACGAGACCAAUGAUGCCGGCAAUGGCGACGGUGACUACCUGGAAGAAGAUGUGGUUGCUUCCGAGGAUGAGCGCGAGGCGUCAUUGCCAAUGUACAGGUGUCACGGAAGCAGAAACAGCGUCGCUAUACGCGACGCAACACCCGCAGCACCACCAGCUCGCCCGCCGCGAGCCGUAUCGCUGCACAGCCGAAGCGGCGACAGCGCCUACCUACCCGAGCACAGCACAGAGGCGGCAGAGGAGAUGCUGGCUGUAGAACGUGGCUUCAGCGCCUCCAGCAUCCUCGCCCCCACCCUUCCGCGUACCCCUGGCCGCGCAUCGAGCAGCAGCGCGACAGCCGCGACGGUCACCCACGAGCGCCACUUUUGGGUUUCCUCCUUCGCAUCCCUCAGUCACGGAAGGCAAAGUGCUGCGCCCGCCGCGGCUGUUGCGGCACCGUCUUGCCGGGCACCGCCAACAGCGUGCACGCCGGCCCCCUCUCCCUUUUCCGUGUCCCCUGGCUGUAGAUGGGCGCGUGGCAGUGGUGCCGCUGCCCGGCUCACCGAGCGUCUUUCCGUGUCCUCCGCGCCGUUUACGUCUCCAAUGUCGCCCAGCUAUCGCAAGACGUCCGGGCGGGCGGUGAAUAGUCGCAGCAACAGCUGUCUCGGUGGUCGCUGUCGUGAAUCACCGAUGCGAAGAGGCGCCCGAAGUCGGCGCGCGUGCUCCGUUACAAUCAUCGGGGUGGCCGAGGAUGAGUCCGUGCCGAUUUCGGUGCGCGGUUCCACCUCACCGAGGCCGGGCUCCACAGCUGCGGGUGCAGCACGACGGAGAGCGGCCUCGGUCAGUACGCGCUCGGCACACGUACAAGCGACGCCAACAUCUCCUGCGGCGGUCUCGCCACUGGCCGAGCUUCUGCUGUCGCCGCCGUCACGCGGCACCGGCAGCGGUGCGCACUACCGAUUGAACUCGAGCUGUAACGGAGACAUGCCCACCCCGGACAUGGCGGCAGCGGCCGCCGCUGCUGUGCAGCGCCUACACCGAAAGCGUCCUAACCCCAUACCGCCGCUCUCGACGGUGCCGGCAUCGUCGCCGAAAGCGAGUGCUGCUCCGGAGUCGCAUACAGGCGCUGGGGAAGCUGAGGGUAACGCGUCAGCGCUAGCGGAAGCCACCCCGCAACAGCAGAGGCGGGAACGCGACGUCAUCAAGGCAGCAGUGGCCGCCACCACGGAGACGGAAGAGCUCUCCGAUCCGUUGCCGCAACGUAGGAGCAACGAAUCGAGUCGUUCGCUUCACCGCACGCCAUCGUCCGUCGCCCGCGCCGUGGCCGUGGCGCUGCGCCGUCCGUGGCUCUCUGAAGACCCCGCUGGCGGCGGCGUGCCUCUCCACAACCCGUUCCCGUGCAUACCCAGUCUGCUUAUGAGCUCUAAGCGUCCGUCAUGGACGGCCGCCGUGGAUCCGACAACGGUCGCCGACCCUGGCGAACCCAACGCGAAGCCUUCGCGAUGCAUGCAAGAGGGUGAGGCAGCAGAAGCGGGCGCCGCUGCUGUCCCGCAACUGCGCACAUCGGUGGUGUCGACAGAGGUAUCGGUGGUCGAUGGCGCUGCGGCGGACGGCACGCCUGAAGUUCUCCCGCGGCAGCGAGCUGAGCUAGAGCAACCGCCGUCUCCCGAGCAACAACAAGCGCGGCCAGGUGGGUGCUUCAAGCACCCUAGCAGCAGCCCGAACCUCGGCGUCGCUCUUACUUCCGCAUCGACGGCCGUUCUAGCGGCACCGCAGCCACCAUCGGACGGCAAGGCAGCGGUGUCGGCCACAACGCCGGCAAGCCGGCGCCGCUACCACCGCGUGGGCACCUCGCCCCCGCCCCCUCCCAUCCCGUUAGCGGCGUCGAUGAUUAGGACGGCGAUGACUGGCGUGAGUUGGCUGAGCAGCAAAAGUGAAAAAUGAGGGAGGCGCGCCCAAUCAGGAGAAUCACAAGCUUCUCUUGUGUGUGCAUGUACCCAUGUGCGUGCGUGCGUGUGGGGGGGGGGGGGGGAAGGGCGGGGGGGGGGGCUGUAAGGAUCUCCUCUACCCGUACCGUCGUGGUGCCUGCAAUCCACACAUCAGCACACGCCCCCCUCCCUUCCUCCCCCUUCCACUCUCGCCCUCACGCGUACGCCCCACCAAGCCCAAGUAUGCAACGGAGUAAAGACGGCGUUUUACCCCACGAUUGGGGGCCUUUGCAAGUUUUGUGUGUGCGCGUUUGUGUCCAUGUAUGCCUCUGAUGUAAAUGAGGGCCACGCUUCCCCCUGUCCCUUUCCCCACAUCUCCUCUGCGUAUCCUCGCUAAGGAGGCUUCUUCUUUCCCGCGCCGGUGAUCGCUGGAGCGUGCUGGUGCGCGCAUGUAUGCACGUGCGCGUCAUGAAGACGGUUUUGCUCGUUACGUAUUCUCUCUGCCUUGCCUGCAACUGCCCGUGUCAAUGGAAGGUGCAGUUUGUGUGUGCAUGUGUGUGGUGGUGGUGGUGGUGGUGGUGGUGGUUCGGCUGCGGGGCACUUGCUCGACAUACGUCCCGCGUGUGCCACCGCUCCUCCAUUCCCUCUUCCAUUCUUGCUGCUCAUGUUUUCUCCGUCCUGUUAGGAGAAGGGGACUUGUCGAGUGCCCCCGCGGGUGAAGGGAGCCGUGCAAAGGACGGUGGAGCACAUCACAGCCGUCGUUUCGCGUGCAGCCCUGCCGCGGUGCUGUCGAUCCUCUCCUUUCAUCACUGUGUGUGUGUGUGUGUGGGCGUGGGCGUGGGGCGGGUGUGGCGUUGCCCUUUCUUUCCGCAGCGGGUGAAAGUCGUCGCCGUCGCGUUCACAGCCGGCCCUCUUGGGUUUGUUCGUGGAAUCCUAUGUACGUGUACGUGUAGGUGCACGUGUACGUGUACGUGUAGGUGUACGUGUACGUGUACGUCUAGGUGCACGUGUACGUGUACGUGUACGUGUACGUGUACGUGUAGGUGCACUGCAUCGACUAUGCAGAUAGAUAUCAUACAUACGUAUAUAUAUAUAUAUACGUAUGUAUGUAUAUGUAUAGAUAUCGAUGUUUUUUUUUUAUGUAUUGCGUCUCUCUCUUCCAACAGCGGAACACCGCGUUUACCCACCACCACCACCACCCAUGUCUUUCGCCUUCUCCCUCAUCCUGCAUUCUAUCCAAACACUCCCCACCCAACUCCCCUCCCCCUCCCCUUCUCUUACCAUCAGCAUCAUCAUCUAAAAACGUCCUACGGCAUGACGUGUGUUUUUUGUCGUUUUGGUUGUUUCUUCCGUCUCCCCCCCCCCUUGCUUUUCGGCUUGCAGCCGCUCUGCGUGCGGUGGGCGGUGUGUGUGUGGGGGGGAGGCCUGUUUAGCCCUUCCAUCGCGUGUGGACCUCUCCAUCUUUUUCUCUCCUUCCACGAGGCCGUGUGCGCUGAACCUUCUCCCCAGCCUCUAACACGCUCCGCAUCUUCCCUUUCGUUCUCGUUUUUUUUUGUUGUUUUCUCUUCUGCCGUGUUCUGUCUUCCGCAUCCUCAUCACUGCAGCGGCAGCACACACGCACACACACACGGCAGUUUCACUUGCGAUGCCUUCGUGUGUGCGUGUGUUUGGAUGUGAUGUAUCUGUGUGCGUGUGUAAUGUCAACGCUCUUAUCUUGGAUUCGUUCUUCGGUUUUUCACUCUUUUUUUAUCGCCUCCUACCCCCUCCCAUUAUCAUCAUCAUCACGAGUGUUUAUCGCUCCCCCAGCCAUGCCCCUCCCUGUCCUAAAUCCCUUUCUUUCUGCUUUCACGUUUGGUGCUCCGUCAAGUGUGCACGUGCGUGCUUGCGUGCGUGCGUGUUGUUGUGUACGGCUGUGUGUUGGUUUAACGUCUCCAACCCUCACCCGUCCUGAGGUUCCCUCCCCUCCACUCCCCCCCCUGUCGCCUGGCACUCGGGUGCCACGAUGGCGCGGGCCGGCAGCGCCGGCGCUGCCUUCUCGUUUUCUCUCUUAUUUUGCUCGCUAUGUUGAUGCGUGUGUCUGUACGCGGUUGUGAGCGUCGUUGGCAAGGACGCGGGCGCAGCGGGUUUUUUUUUGCGCGUGUUCUCGCCAACUCCGUCCCCCUCGUCUGUGCGUUGUACGGUGCUCCUUCUUCACCAGCCCGAACACCGUUUUGCGUGUUCAGGCUAUUGCUGCCCGGAUGCACUUUCUGCGUCCCGUCCUCGUCCCUCGAGGAGACCCACCCCCCCCCUUCCCCCUCCCCCUCCGCCUCACAAACCUCGAUCACUCGCGCCGCGGAUGAUCUGGCCAUUUACAUGCACCUGUCUCUUGUCCUUCCGAUUUUGCGUUGCAUGCUAGUAGCAUUCUUCAUGCAUAUAUCUAUAGAGAGAGAGAUCGGUAUUCCUUCUCGGUAUUCCCUUCGUCUUCCACCUCUGAGGCGUUGUGCGCGCCGUCUUGUGCCUUGUGCUGUGCGCCCCUACUGCCUCCUUUCGUUAGCUGGUGUUGUGUCUGUGUCUGUGGGUGUCUGUGGCGUGUUGUGUGCGUACUCUUUUCUUUCGAGUGCGCGCACCUGGUGCGCUGAGGUUCUGACUAUCUGUGGGCGUGAGCGAGCUCGCACGCACGCAUCUCUCUCUCCUCCCUCAUCUUUUCGUUCGAGGAAGAAAAUCGAAGCGACCACGCGGUAAUGCAGGGCCGCACGCGCAUGAGGCAGCACAGCACUCAGCUCAACCGCCCCCCUCCCUACCCAAACGCCGCAGCAGGAUUCCGGCCCUUUUUCAGAAAAAGGAAACGGGGGGUGGGGGGCGGAUGGGGCGGGCUCUUCACGAGAUGCUUUCUCCUCUCUCCCCGACGGUCUAGCCUGUUGUUUCGCAUGGAGAACGUGCGCCGUUGUCUUGGCGGCAGCGGUGAGUGAUGGUGGGUGAUGGUGGCGCUGGUAAUUCUCUUUUUUGCUUCGGAACCACGUUGUGAGUCGGCGCUUCACCCAACCACCACCAGCACCGCCAACACACUGCAGCCUCUGCACCGGCCUGCGUCUCCGGCUGUUCUCCGUCGUUGGUGUUGUUGCCGGUUCUUUUUUUCCGGCUGGUGCUCACGCUCUUCCUUUUUUUUUCUUCGCCAGGGUUUCCGUCGGUAUCUUCUUCUGUUUC